rnacentral:rRNA from 1 species
ACGCUGGCGGCGUGCCUAAUACAUGCAAGUAGAACGCUGAAGGAGGAGCUUGCUUCUCUGGAUGAGUUGCGAACGGGUGAGUAACGCGUAGGUAACCUGCCUGGUAGCGGGGGAUAACUAUUGGAAACGAUAGCUAAUACCGCAUAAGAGUAGAUGUUGCAUGACAUUUACUUAAAAGGUGCAAUUGCAUCACUACCAGAUGGACCUGCGUUGUAUUAGCUAGUUGGUGGGGUAACGGCUCACCAAGGCGACGAUACAUAGCCGACCUGAGAGGGUGAUCGGCCACACUGGGACUGAGACACGGCCCAGACUCCUACGGGAGGCAGCAGUAGGGAAUCUUCGGCAAUGGACGGAAGUCUGACCGAGCAACGCCGCGUGAGUGAAGAAGGUUUUCGGAUCGUAAAGCUCUGUUGUAAGAGAAGAACGAGUGUGAGAGUGGAAAGUUCACACUGUGACGGUAUCUUACCAGAAAGGGACGGCUAACUACGUGCCAGCAGCCGCGGUAAUACGUAGGUCCCGAGCGUUGUCCGGAUUUAUUGGGCGUAGAGCGAGCGCAGGCGGUUAGAUAAGCCUGAAGUUAUAGGCUGUGGCUUAACCAUAGUACGCUUUGGAAACUGUUUAACUUGAGUGCAAGAGGGGAGAGUGGAAUUCCAUGUGUAGCGGUGAAAUGCGUAGAUAUAUGGAGGAACACCGGUGGCGAAAGCGGCUCUCUGGCUUGUAACUGACGCUGAGGCUCGAAAGCGUGGGGAGCAAACAGGAUUAGAUACACUGGUAGUCCACGCCGUAAACGGUGAGUGCUAGGUGUUAGACCCUUUCCGGGGUUUAGUGCCGCAGCUAACGCAUUAAGCACUCCGCCUGGGGAGUACGACCGCAAGGUUGAAACUCAAAGGAAUUGACGGGGGCCCGCAC